GGAGUUUUCUCUUUUUCGUGCUAUAUAUGCAAAAAAUGAAGCUAAAACUAAACUAAUUAAACCGAUUAGAAAAAGAAAGCAUUGAAAGAACUAGAAGCAAUACUAUCUUUAAAAUCAGAGAGAAAGGUUUUGACUUUUAAAUUAUCUCGAUAAGCAAAACAAAGUUUCAAGAGUUUCUAGGCCGCGAAGUUUCAAAAAAUGCCGUUCUAUAUACCGCAUGCAGUAGGAGAUUUCCAGGAAUGGCUGUGGUUCAAAAUUAGCUGGGAAAGUUACAUGGGUCCUAUGGCAAUUCUGGUCAUUCUAUUCAAUCUGUAUUUUGUCCUGACUGUUUGGAAAGUGGAGGAACUGCAUACGCACGACUAUGUUCUAAUAACCAUUCAGUGUGCAAUGGAUCUAAUUUUUACUGGCGUGUUUGGACUGCUCCAUUACCUGUUGGAACUUUGGAGUGGGGUAGUUUCCUUUUGCAUAGAAGGCAACUUUUUGGGGAAUACUUAUAAAGAUUUAUCCCAAGAUUAUCCCGGAUGGAACUCAUUUUGUCGCAGCCAACUCAUGAAACCGGAAG